UACGUAGGGCGCAAGCGUUGUCCGGAAUUACUGGGCGUAAAGGGCGCGUAGGCGGCCUGUUAAGUCGAACGUGAAAUCCCCAGGCUCAACCUGGGAACUGCGUCCGAUACUGGAUGGCUUGAAUUCGGGAGAGGGAUGCAGAAUUCCAGGUGUAGCGGUGAAAUGCGUAGAUAUCUGGAGGAACACCGGUGGCGAAGGCGGCAUCCUGGACCGACACUGACGCUGAGGAGCGAAAGCCAGGGGAGCAAACGGG
rnacentral:rRNA from 1 species